rnacentral:tRNA from 1 species
UCUCCAGUGGCGCAAUCGGUUAGCGCGCGGUACUUAUAAUGCCGAGGUUGUGAGUUCAAGCCUCACCUGGAGCA